CUCAGUGGUCUAGAGACUCUGUCUCUCUGUCUCUCUGUCUCUGUCUCUGAUCUCUGUCUCUCUCUCUCUCUCUCUCUCUCUCUCUCUCUCUCUCUCUCUCCCUCCUUGUCCCCCCUCUCCUCUCUGUCUCUCUGUGUGUCUCUGUCUCUCUCUCCUCUCUCUUUCUCUUUUUCUUUCUCUGUCUUAGUCUCUGUCUAUCCCUCUGUCUCUCUCUGGCUCUGGCUCUCUUAGUUUGUGUUCUCUCUCUUUUUUCUCUUUCUCUUCCCUUCAUUUCUCUUCCUCUGUCCUUGUCUCUCCUCUUUUCUCCCUGUCUCUAUCUCUCCCUUCUUAUACAGAGAGAGAGAGAGAGAGAGAGAGAGAGAGAGAGAGAGAAGGAGUUCCAGAUACCCAGUUCUUCUGAUCUUAACCUAAAAAAAAAUCUCUUGUCCCAAGAACAACCACCACCACUACCCCCCCCCCACUUUAAAAUGAAUACUUUGGCCUUGGCCCAGUCAGGUAGGUCCUGAGGAGACUAUUUGUGUAUUAUACAAUCCCAGGCUCAAGUCAAUCCCUAGUCAUGCUGGUCACUGUCAGACCUCCAAUUCUCCACUCCAGUGUUCCUGGUUAUCACUUAACAUUUGCCUUGGUUUCUUCUACUGUAAAAAUGGGAUCAAUAGUAACAUUUACCUCCCAGAGUAAUUUAAAAUUUUUUAAUUUUAUUAUUAUAUUAUUUUUAAACCCUUACCUUCUAUCUUAGAAUCAACACUAAGUAUUGGUUCCAAGGCAGAAGAGUGGUAAAGCCUAGGCAACUGGAGUCAAGUGACUUGUCCAGGGUCACACAGCUCAGAAGUGUCUGAGGCCAUAUUUGAACCAAGGUCCUUUCCAUUCCAAGCCUGGUGCUCUAUCCAUCGUGCAACCUAACUGCCUCACAGUCCCCUAUUUAAUGUGGGGCAGCAUCUCUAGCAAAAGGUCAAUUAUGGAAAGUAUGGCAUCAAUUAGGAUGAAAAAGAAUAAAGAAGCAUCGUCUCUUUUAGCA
rnacentral:lncRNA from 1 species